CUUCUUCUUCUUCUUCUUCUUCUCUUCUCGAACUCACGUUGGCUACAACUCUUAAGUUUUAUUUUCUUUAAUCUUUCAUCUAAUUAUUUGGGUUUUGGCUAAUACAAAAAUUAUAAGGUGUCAUGCAUGUAUGAAAGGAGCUAGGUGUCAUCUUUAGAGCAAACAUAAAUGGCACAAACUUUAGGUUAGGUAGUGACACAUGUCCAUCAAUUUUUUUUAACUUAAAUCUGAAUAUCUCAUAAAUCAUAUCAAAUUUCUAAUAUUUACUCUUAGGUCCCUAGCCAUAAACUUUUAAUAUAAUAUUAUUUAAUAUAAAAAAAUUAUUAAAUAGUCCUCAUAUUUACAAACAAGUAUUUACUAAAUUUUAAAAAAUAAAGGAUGUUACAACAUAUGCUCUUAGCAAGCCUUUAUAUCACCAGUAAUUCCUUCUAUUUUGGUCCACAAUCAAUGUCACUAAUAAGAGCACUAUCUUAUUAGAAAAAAAUAUUAUUAAAAAAAUAAAUCAUGAUAAGAUUAUGAUGAUCUUCUUAAUAUUUUGAUACUAUGUUAUCAUAAUUUUAAAUCAUAGAAAUUAUGAUAACUUAUUAUCAUGAUUCUAUCAAUAACGAAGAUCAUAAUCUCAACGUGAUCUCCUACAUUAUGAAAUAAUUUAGUAAAUAUUUUAUAUUUAUUAUUGAUUGAGAAAAUCAUGUAAUUAUCAUAUUUUGUAAUAUCUCUUUAUGUAUAUAAAUUUAUAUUUAUUAUCAAUAAAAAUUUAACUAAUCAUUUCUUAUCAUCUCAUAUGCUUGUUUAAGGGCUAAGGUGGACUUAAUGUGUGCUUCGCGAUCCACGAGGAUUGAGUAAUUUUAGUAAACUGAUCUUUAUUAUCAUGCCCAAGAUGACUUUUUAUAAUGAGUUAACGAGGAAAAUAUUCUGCUAUGGGUGAAAUAUUUCUUGUCUUACUGUUUAUGGAGUAUAGAGAGUCCACGUACUAAUGUUUUGGACUAGUAUUCACGUGGCCUUAUCGUUGACCAAGUCUCGUUGAUGGUACUAUCACAUGUCGAGCUAUGAUUAAGAAAGAAUAUUUUUUCAUUAAUGAUGAAUGAUGUAGAAAGAUUUUGAUCUCAACAUAAAAUUUUUACCAACCAAAUUUAAUAGUAAUUUUCAAAUAUUUGUGGAUGAGGUUUUAAAUAUGUCAACAUCUGUAAGUAGGUGUAACCACCAGGCCCAAUAACUUUGGUAUAAAAUUCUAAAUAACUAGUAAUCAAUGGAUCAUCUGUGAAAAUUUUUUAUUUUUUUAACUAUCUCCAAUACUGCUUUAAAAUAAGAUUUAAAAAAACUAUAACAUUAGAUAUUAAGAGUCAGAUUGCAAAAUAAGACAUAUGUAUUCUUAGAUAUUACAAAAUAAAAUUGUAACAUUAGAUAUUUAAAAUAAAUUGGUAGACCAUUUUUUUAAAAUUUAUUUUUUCGCAUAUAUAUCAACCGAAGGGAAAGAUUUUAACCGUACUUCAGAGUUGGGGUCUCCCUACGUGUCAUAAGAUAUUAUUAUCUUAGCACGACCUUUACGUCAUUUCAGAUUUUUAUGAGAUAUUUUUCGUAUUUUUUUAGUUAAUUUUUUUUUUAUUUAUAUUAAAUAAAAAUGAAAUAUUUUAAUGAGAGUGCUCCACCUCGUGGCCGCACCAAAAAAUACCUCCGAGAUGACAGUUGUCAUCGUGCACCUUUCAUGGCACCAAGGAAACGGUAUCGCCAUGGCUAAUCAUGUCGUAGCUGGCAGUGAUGUCUCCUUCUUCCGUUGACCUCAUAAUCAGCUUGAAGAGAACACAGCAAUCGAUUCAAUUUAAAUCUAAUCCAUCUCGGUCGAACCAAUUUGCGAGCUCUGAUUUGGUCGGCCCAAAUGGUACGGUAUGAGCUCGCAAUGAUCGAGUAGCCGCCACCAACUUUGACCACAAAGCCCGUUCUAUUUAUUGGACUUCCAUCUCCUGGGCGAGAGGCCUUCUUAGCACUUCCUGCCCUCUGGUUUCUUGCCAUGGAAAAUGGGGGUUCCUGGGAGGGAGCGCAAAGAAGGCCACUGCUGGAUGAGGUACUGCCAUCUGCUCAACUCUUCUUUUUCUUCUUCUUUGUUUCAUCCUUACAUCUGGGUUUUCCUUUCUUUAGUUGACUAACUUUGCACUUGGAUCUGAAAUAUGCUUUUGCUUUUCACAAUUAGUACCUCCUCAUACUUCAUCUUGAUUGAUCCUUUAUCGUCAUUGCCGUCGGACCAUCGUUCUGUUCUGCAGAACAUGUAUUGUUUCCG
rnacentral:lncRNA from 1 species